rnacentral:rRNA from 1 species
UACGUAGGGUGCAAGCGUUGUCCGGAAUUAUUGGGCGUAAAGGGCUCGUAGGCGGUCCAUCGCGUCGGGAGUGAAAAGCUGGGGCUUAACCCCAGUCCUGCUUCCGAUACGGGUGGACUAGAGGUAGGUAGGGGAGAACGGAAUUCCUGGUGUAGCGGUGAAAUGCGCAGAUAUCGGGAGGAACACCAAUGGCGAAGGCAGCUCGCUGGGACGGUACUGACGCUGAGGCGCGAAAGCGUGGGGAGCAAACAGG